rnacentral:rRNA from 1 species
GACGAACGCUGGCGGCGUGCCUAAUACAUGCAAGUAGAACGCGGCAGGAGGAGCUUGCUUCUCUGGAUGAGUUGCGAACGGGUGAGUAACGCGUAGGUAACCUGCCUGGUAGCGGGGGAGAACUAUUGGAAACGAUAGCUAAUACCGCAUAAGAGUAGAUGUUGCAUGACAUUUGCUUAAAAGGUGCAAUUGCAUGUCUACCAGAUGCACCUGCGUUGUAUUAGCUAGUGGGUGGGGGACCGGCUCACCAGGGCGACGUUACAUAGCCGACCAGCGAGGGUGCGCGGCAUCGCUGGGACUGGGACACGGCCAAGCAUCCUGCGGGAGGCAGCCGUCGGGGAUCUUUGGCAAUAGAAGGAAGUGUGAACGAGGAACGCUGCGCGAGUGACGAAGGUUGUCGGAUCGCGAAGCUCUGUUGUGAGUGAAGAAUGUGUGUGAGAGUGGAACGUUCACACUGUGACGGUAUCUUACGAGAAAGCGCCGGCUAACUCCGUG